UAAUUACUUGUUACGUACUCCUUCCGUUUGCGCUUAUAUUCUUAUUUCAAAUGUAUACUAGAACCGGCGAGAAUUUAGAAAUAGAGGAAAUACUUGUAACUGUUUCUUUGUACAGGCUCUAGGAAACGGUGAAAAGCUGGAUAGCGUUGUCAAUGUAUUCAUCGGAUUAGCAUCUACUCCCUCCAUUUUAUAAAAGUUAACGUAUUUUGUUUCGUUAAGACAAGGCGUUGUCGAUAAAAUUUCACUCACAUACCAAAUUUUCCGGUGUUUGAUCUUUAUAAUAUGCUUCUUCUCUAUAUACAUUUCACUCUGUACCAAAUUUUUCAGUAGCUAGUAUGCUUCUUCUCUAUAGUAUUGCUAAUCCGCACGUCGAUGCAUCCGAGCCAUUAGAUUUUCAUCUAUCCGCUGUAUAUCCUACUCCAUUAUUCUUUCCGAAUCUUAACGUGCAAACCAAAUCCAAUGGUAGAGAAACCGAUUGAUCCAUGACUAAAAAUGAGGCAACUUGCCCAUAACAAAACCAGAAAAAAAAAAUGAACCGCGAGGCAUGCUUGGGAUUAUUACUGGUAGCUUUGCUGCAAAGCACUCGUCCGUACGAUCGGGAUUGUAACUAACAAAGCCGGACCCACGCUCGUGUGGGUAAAACGUCUUACUUUACUCGAUGGCUUAAUUAACUCUCUUAACUAGCAACACUGACUAACACAAGCACUGUCCUAUCAUACUUAACUCUCCAGCCGCAGAGCUACAACCUUGUUAGAGAAAGCGGAGCAGGCACGUGAUGGGGGGAAGCCUCCUUUUGUGGCG
rnacentral:lncRNA from 1 species